AACCACAUUUCAUUUCCUACCAAAAUCACAAGGCAAAGCGAAGCAACAAAAGCCAACACAAUUCAGAGAGAAAAUUUCACUUUUGUGUGGUUUAUUUAGAAACUUGAUAGCUUUCACUACUUGUAUUUGAUAAUUUCAGCUUUCGGCUUAUAGCUUUUAGCUUCUAGUUCAUGGUGUCUGUGAAUCCAAACCCACCUCAAGGUUUCUACUUAUUCGAUCCCAUGAAUACCAAUAUGGGUCUUCCGGGUCUCAGUUCUAUGCCGCCGCCGCCGCCUACUGCUGCUGCUUCAGCUACGGCGGCGACCAGUACGACUGCUGCCUGCACGGCGUCGUCCGCGGCCGCAAACGCCGCGUCGAUGUCGGCGGAUGAUCAGAGCAAGAAAAUCCGGAAACCGUAUACGAUUACCAAGUCGAGAGAGAGCUGGACGGACCAGGAGCACGACAAGUUUCUCGAAGCUCUUCAGCUAUUUGAUCGUGACUGGAAGAAGAUUGAAUCAUUUGUUGGCUCAAAAACGGUUAUCCAGAUCCGUAGUCAUGCACAGAAGUACUUUUUGAAGGUUCAGAAGAAAGGGACAAGCGAACAUGUACCUCCACCUAGGCCAAAGAGGAAAGCAACUCACCCAUACCCGCAAAAAGCUCCCAAAAUUGCUGCAGUUGUAUCUCAAGUAGCUGGGCCGUUUCAAUCUUCAUCUGAUUUGCUUGAACAUGGAUAUGUUUACCAGCCAGAUUCCUCAUUUGUGCUUGGAACUCCAGUUAACUCUGCAACAUUAUCUUCUUGGAGUUGUAAUUCUAUGCCACCAGUCAACAUAACUAAAGAUGAAGGAAGGUUAUCUGGGCAAACUGUUACACAUAACUCUUGCUACAGUAGUAGCAAUGAAAGCAACCCGAUAAAUUGGAAUAUGCGUGAGACAGUUGAUGGAGUAGAUCCUGGCCAGCCACAAAGAGUUUUGCCAGAUUUUGCUCAGGUGUAUAAAUUUAUCGGAAGUGUGUUCGACCCCAGUACAAGUAAUCAUAUGGAGAGGCUGAGACAAUUGGAUCCCAUAAAUUUGGAAACUGCACUUUUGCUGAUGCGGAACCUCUCCAUUAAUUUGACAAGGCCCGAGUUUGAGGACCAUCUCCAGAGUCUGAGGAACCGAUGUGUCUGAUAGAGAGAGGCUCAAGCAGUUUAAGAAUGGCAUGUUCAGCCACUUAGUUCUACGGUUUAGUGAGAAAGCUAAUUGAAUCGGAUGGUGCCGGCUCAGUCAAAACUAAAUCCAAUGGCAAUUUCAACUUGUCUCGCAUUGUCAAAUCAGAGAAUCCCAUCCUAUCUUCUUGAGAGAUGGAAGGUAAAAUGGAAAUUUUAAACUCCUCAAUAUUUACAGCGAAUAUCCGACCAAUGCGUUUUAACUACGGAUUUCAGGGCAGAGUGUUGAACGACCAAGUUCGCUAACAGUUAAUAGCGCAGAGUGGCUUUGUAUAUAUGUAGAAUACACGGUUUUGAAUACAUACAGCUUGUGAGUGGACCAAACCCAGUUUUGUGUGCAGACCAUACUUGUAAUUUCGUCGUGAAGGAAUGUGGAAUGAUACAGUCAGUCAACUCCAAUGUUUGUUCCGGAGGCCGUCUUGUAUUGAGUUUCGAGGUUGAUUGUGGACUCUAUUUCGUUGUAAUUGUUGUUUUUCGGUUUUACAUAACUGGAAUAAAAGUAGGACCUCAAAAUGGUGCCAAACAA